ACAACCGUUCAGUGCCUUCGGGAACAUUGAGACAGGUGCUUGCAUUCAUUAGGCUUAAUCAGCUAUUGUGUCGUGAGAUGUUGGGUUAAGUCCCGUAACGAGCGCACUUGUCCUUUGUUAGGCCACGUAAUGGUUUGAUUACUCUAAGGAGACUGCCGGUGACAAACCGCAGUAAUGGGGUUGACGUCUAUAGUCAUCAUGCUUACGGCCUGGGCUACAGUGCUACAAUGGUAUGUGGUACAGAGAAUUGCCAAGCUAUGAGGUGGAGCUAAUCCCACCCUUCCGAUCGUAGAGCGGAUUCCAGUCUGUAACUCGACCGUUUGAAGUCGGUUGCGCUAGUAAUCGCGAAUCAGACUGUUUACGGCGGUGUACGUGGCCGGGCCUUGUUUCACCGCCCGU
rnacentral:rRNA from 1 species